GAGGUGUUGCUCGGAGCGUCUAAUUGUCGUCCAUCGUAAUAAAAUUCUCCUUGUGGAUUUACUACCUCGUCCAUUAGGAAUCCAAUGAGACCUUCACAUAUUGCCGCUACUCUUUCUUUCUUCAAGAGUCCUUGUUGAAUAUUUAACAUCUAUAAUUUGGAAAUUUGUGAAUGUUACACGAACAAUUAAAUAUAAGGAGCUAGAAAAUAAUUAACUAGUAAUAGUUUUAUUUUACGUACUUUAAAGUUGUGCGGCGUCAUCUUUAGUCCCUUGGGUCCUAUAAAACUGUGCAUGUGCUCACAGAUGUAGUAGCCACAUAGAUUAUUCCCGGGUUCCAGCACUUCAGUGCAGAAAAAAUAAGUUAUGAAAUAUUCGUGUUAUACAAUGUACUAAAUGUGCAGACUUCAUAUGUACCAGGAAGUCUGUGUUCCAUGUAAGUUUUUCUUUGAAUAGACCUUUGUGUGUUCUUAUGAAUUGUUUCCAUGUGCUGCGGAUUAGAAUAAUGAAUGGUAUAGUGUAACAGGGAUCAAAUUCAAGAAACAAAUUUUUGCAUAGAGAUAAAGGUUCAGAAUUAUUACAAACCUAGCAUGUCUUGGUACUCCACCGGAUC
rnacentral:lncRNA from 1 species